GAUGGACCUGGCCGCGAACGAGAAAGCCGUGCACGCUGAUUUCUUCAACGAUUUUGAAGAUCUCUUUGAUGAUGAUGACAUCCAGUGAACUUAGUUGGCCAACUAUGCAAUGCUGAGAUGUGGAUUUUUCUCUAGGAUUGUCUGUGCUGUCCAUUAUUUAUUACAAUAAUAAAAACAGGAAAAUCGCAAAGCCAGGGAGAAAACCUGUGUCAGCUGCUCGGGGAAUAUGGAAACCAGAUGGUUAAAGAUAACUAAGGAGGGAAUUGUGGAUUGUUGUUUCUAGGAAGCUGUGUGUAGAUUUUUCUUAAAAUUUUACUUGCUGAUGGUCUCAUUCAAUAAACUACUAAAAAAAGC